rfam:TPA: Bos taurus chromosome 13, whole genome shotgun sequence.
UCUCUGGUGGUCCAGUGGUUAGGACUCUGCGUUUCCACAGCAGGGACCUGGGUCUGAUCCCUGGUGAGGGAA